AGAUACCGGCAGUCUUGGAACUGGGAGAGGUAAACCGUACUUCGGGGGUAGGAGUGAAAUCUUGUAAUCCUCGAGGGACGACCUAUGGCGAAGGCAGUUUACCAGAACAGCUUCGACAGUGAGGGACGAAAGCUGGGGGAGCAAACGGGAUUAGAUACCCCGGUAGUCCCAGCCGUAAACAAUGUGCGUUAGGUGUGUCGGUAACCACGUGUUACUGAUGCGCCGAAGAGAAAUCGUGAAACGCACCACCUGGGAAGUACGGUCGCAAGGCUGAAACUUAAAGGAAUUGGCGGGGGAGCACCACAACAGGUGGAGCCUGCGGUUUAAUUGGAUUCAACGCCGGG
rnacentral:rRNA from 1 species